UUUUUUGAUCCUGAUCUUAGAUUCUCAAUUACUGAGACCACUAUAAUGUGGGAAAACAUAAAUCAUUCAUCUUAUGCAGAAAUUUUUAUUAUUAUCCGAUUUCAAUGAGGAUAAAAGAUUCAAAUCAAGAGCUGAGUAUAUUUUAUGAUUUGUUAUAUUUUCAGAAGCAAUUCUGAGUAUGAGAGUAAACGUUUUCAUUCUUUCUAUUUUCAUACAUACUACAACAGGUCAUGUUUAACAGGUCCGGGCCGGUAUGACGGAGAAGUGUGUAGUGAGUGUCUUAAAUUCGCAGUCCAAAUAUGUGUAUUUCUAGGAAGACUAGGUCCUCUUCUCGAAGUCUUUCAGUUUCCUGGAAUCACUGUCCAAUAAUCAAAUAAUGUGGACACUAUGACAAUAGAAAUUUGAUUGAAGACGAGGAGCAGUCCAGCAACCAGACAAUUUUCGAUGCAGUCAACCAAAGCUUUGCUGAUAAUAGCAAUGAGAAGUCUACUGCUGAACUGUCUCCAACUGGAGUUGAAAGCAAAACUGAGAACUUUUGCCCGCUAGCGAAGCACAGGCACAGUAACAGGCAUUCCUUGGAAAUGUGGCUGCUGGUUUAAGAAUGCUUUGGUCACUCGUGCCAACAGAUCUGAUCAAAUUGACUAGAGUGAUCGCGAUGUUUGGAACUAUUUUGUGGCAAGGAGUCACGGCAGAUCAUGCUGACCAAUAAUUGUAUCGAUUUGUGAAAGAAACGUUUAACAAAUUGUGAUAUUGCAUGAGAUCUCCGCAUCAUUCCACAACCAUCAGGAUGGCUGCGAAGGCACUGGCAGCUGUGCAUAUCAAGCACCAGCCACCAAUCCACUCUAUCAGAUUGGAACAUCGAUUCGCGCCAACUCAA
rnacentral:misc_RNA from 1 species